AAAAUUAAACAAUUGUCUUGUGCAAUACAUACUGUCUUUUUAAGAACUCUGGUGAAACGCGUUAUUCAUGGGAGGAGGAAAACGUUUUGAAUAUCCUAAGUAUGUCUGGUCCCCAUCAGGGGGUUGGUGGUGUGAACCUAGAAAUUGGAAAAGAAAUACUGUUAUUGGUUUUGGGAUGAUGCUUGCUGCUUGUGUUCCCAUAUGCUGGCUUUCUUGGCAGUUAGAGAGGCGACCAGUUCCACCCUACAGACAUAUAUUUUCACAACGUUUUGCAAAACAUGCAAAGGAAGAUGAUCCAUCUCUCUGCUAGGACACAUUUUGUAUCAAAACAGAGACAGCACUAUUUAUGACAGAAAUUUUUGAUAAAGAUAUGAAACGAAUGCAUAACUUCUCAUGUUUUGAGAUCAAUUUGGAAAAUUGUUUUAGCGCUAAUGUUUGUUUUUUGAUAAUGUCAAUCAUGUUUUCAGGGUAUAUAAACAUUUGCUGCUAAA